rnacentral:rRNA from 1 species
UACGGGGGGGGCAAGCGUUGUUCGGAAUUACUGGGCGUAAAGGGCUCGUAGGCGGCCAACUAAGUCGGAUGUGAAAUCCCCAGGCUCAACUUGGGAACUGCAUCCGAUACUGGAUGGCUUGAAUCCGGGAGAGGGAUGCAGAAUUCCAGGUGUAGCGGUGAAAUGCGUAGAUAUCUGGAGGAACACCGGUGGCGAAGGCGGCAUCCUGGACCAAUUCUGACGCUGAGGAGCGAAAGCCAGGGGAGCAAACGGG